CAAACAAAUACACACUUUCUCAAAGAAAGUACAUUAUGUAACCAACCAUCCCCAGCAUUUGUGAGAUUUAACUAUUUUAAUACAGGAACCAAGAGGUGUCUAAAUACUAAUACAUACUCUAUAUUUUGUAUUUAACCUUUAUGUAACCAAGAAUGCCUAAUUUAAUACAAUUUCUAAUACAUUCAUAUAAAAUAUUUCAUCCAAAGAGCAACCUAAACAGCAACUUAAAACAACCCAAGAGCUGUCCUGUCCUGUCUAAAACCAUAAAAAUAAAUAUGACUAGUUUAAAACAAUCAGGAUGUAAAACACAUCAAUAUUCUAAAAUAUCCCAAAAUGUAAGCAGCCAGAAAAGUGAGCAACCAGUUUCUACAGCAAUGGUUUAAAUUUUGCAAUUUAAGAUAAUGGCUAAAUGCAGAGGGUUUAAGAUAGUUUACAAUAUACAGAAUCAAGAGCAUGUAAUAAUAAUAACUUUAUAUAGCAUGUUGCAAGAUGCAGCCCAAAGUGCUUCACAAGACAUAUCAAUAACAAAUAGCAAAGGCAAUAGAAAAACAAAAAAACAAAAAACAAAAACAAAGCAAACAAACAGUUUGAUAAAUCAUGCUAGAAACAUCAACCCAAAUUAAAAGCCAAGUUAAAAACAUAGUUAUUUCAUUUAUUUUUAAAAAUACCAAGAGAGUUUGCUGUUGGGCCAUAAAAACAGAAAGCAGCCUCACCAGAUGUCGUGUGGGACACUUUACGAACUUCUAAAAGAAAGGCAGUGGAAGAUCUGAGAGUUCUUGUUCAUACAUAAAAUGAGAGGUAGUCGCUGAUGUAUGAGGAUGCUGUCAUGGUUUUGGGUUUGUGUUCAGCUAUUUCCUGUUUUAUUUAGAAAUACUCUUUUCCCCGCAUGUGUCUGGUAGUUUUACUUCCUGUCUUUGAUAGCUUUUCACGCCAGUUUUGAUCGUUUGCUCCACCCUGAUUAGUUUCACCUGUGUCUCGUUAUCUCCCUUUACCUGAGUGUAUUUAGUCUGUGUGCUUCCCUUGUCUCUUUGUCAGAUUGUUUUCGUCAGUUGCUGUCAAGCGUCCUAGCCAGGUCUCGAGUGUUUCACGUGUUUUUGGAUUUUUACUCAUUUCAUGGAUUUUGGACUUUGCCUGCUCCCCAUCGGAUUUGUUUGCCUGUGUUGGACUGCGUUCCUGGUUUUGACCUCUGCCUGCUUCACCAUUCAUUCUGCAGGCUCAACCUGGACCACAGGACCUGAACAGUUGGCUCUUUGGGUGUGAACCUACAGACUGCAUGGACUGAUGGUCUGCUGACCUUGAUGAAAUGCCCAUCCAAAGAGUUUUACUGGAACAAGGAGUGCUAAUGGAGGCCAUGAGGUGUCCAUUGAAAGACAGGGCUCAUCAGUAAAUGGAAGGGCUACUGGUGAGCCAAACCUCUUCUUCCUUCAUACCGCCUACCAAACCUCUGACGCAAGCCCAUUUGUCUUCUCCUGCAGUUUCUCUGGAACUGGCUAUCUUUGUGGACUCUGGUGCGGAUAAGAACUUUAUCGACCGGGGGUUUGGCCAAACAGUUGGCCAACGCAUUGGAUGGCUGCCUACUCUGUUGAGUGACUCACCACACUCCACCUCUCAGCCUCUUCAUGUCAGAUAAUCACUCUGAAAAUCUCGUCUUAGCACGUUAUUGACUCACCGCAACUGCCACUUAUUUUGGGUUUCCCCUGGUUAAAGAAACAUAACCCUAACAUAGACUGGUGCACAGGGGCUGUUCUGGGAUGGAAUGCUAGAUGUCACUCAUCCUGUCUCUUGUCUGCUGCCCCUAAGGGCUCCCAAGCCUCCAUUUUCACCAAACUUGACCGCAGAAAUGCUUAUCACCUGGUCAGGAUCAGAGAAGGGGAUGAGUGGUAGACAGCCUUUAACACACCCAGUGGCCAUUAUGAAUAUUUGGAAUAUUACGCUUCAGCUAUGUUUCAGGCUCUGGUCAAUGAUGUGUUGUGAGACAUACUUAACCAUGUCUCACAGCACACCAUCUUAUUCCAAGGAUGAGAAGGAACAUGAGCAGCACGUCCGGAAGGUUCUUCAGCGUUUGCUGGAGAACCAAUUAUGUCAAUUAUAUGUUCUUCCCUCCCCAGGCACCAAGUUCCAGUGGUCUCCCGUCAGUUCGAACCUGAGGACAUCUCCAAGGGACCCUCCACCAUCCUGCCUCCCUCCUGUGUGGUCGGAGUUGUCACAUGGGGCAUUGAGAGCGAGGUCAGACGAGCCAUAGAAAGGACACAAAUUCCGAUUGGGUACCCCCCAACCGCCUGUUCCUCCCGGCAAACCUGAGCUCUGGGGUCCUGCUAUGGACGCACACCUCCAAAUUGAGCUGUCAUAUGGGGGUGCAACAAAUGGUCAGCCUCCUCAGACAGCGCUUCUGGUGGCCACCCUGGAAGAGGACGCUAGGGAAUCUAUUGCUGCCUGUCAAGUUUGUGCCCAGAAUAAGACCUUCCGCCAGCACCUGACUGGAUUACUUCAUCGCCUACCAGUACCACGGCAACCUUGGUCUAUCUAUAUCUCACUGGACUUUGUCACUGCGCUGCCCUAAUCAGAAGGUAACACUGUGAUACUCACAAUUAUUGACCGCUUUUCUAAGAUGGCUCACUUUGUCCCUCUGCCCAAACUCCCUUCUGUCAAGGAGACGGCGGAGGUUAUGCUCACCGAUGUGUUUCGUUUACAUGGUCUUCCCCAGGAUGUGGUGUCUCACUGGGGUCCCCAGUUCACCUCUCAGUUUUUGAAGGAGUUCUGCAGGCUAAUCGGAGCCAUGGCAAGCCUCUCUUCUGGCUUUCAACCUCAGUCUAAUGGUCAGACUGACACUUGGACAUCUACCUCAUGUUUUCAUUGCCCUCCAGCAUUCUAGAGUUUGUAUCUUCGGUUUUUGGAUUUUGCCUGCUCCCUGUCUGAUUUGUUUGCCUGCCUUGGACUGAUUUCCAGUAUAUGACCUUCAGUAAAAACUGCCUUUUUGAACUUUAAUCUGUGUCCGUGCUUUUCUCUGCAUCUGAGUCUCUGCUUUACCAGAAACCGACCGGCAGAGGUCGAUGUUGUCCUCGUAUGCGGCGAGAUGCAGUCUCACCCGGGGAUCCAAUCCCUGACAGAAGGUGGUGAUCAGGGAUUGCUCGUUCCACCCACUAGCCGCGGCGAGGGUUCGGAAUUCCGAGGCGUAGUCUUUCACAGAGCGGGAACCCUGCCUGAGGUGGUAGAGGCGUUCCCCUGUGGAGGAGUCACCCGCUGGUCUUCCGAACACCUCCUUGAGGUGGGACAGGAAGCUAGACAAGGAUUGGAUCACUGGUCCAUUCUGGGACCAGAUUGUCUCUGCCCAUUGUAGCGCCCGCCACUGGAGCUGCGAGAUGAUAAAUGCUACUUUGGACCGCUCGGUCGGGUAUAGGUGAGACUGCAUCUCCAGGACCAGAGCACACUGAAGGAGGAAGCAGUUGCACUCCUCUGCCGAGCCAGAGAAUGGCUGUGGAGGUGUCGCAGAACAGACGUACUCCAUAGGUGGUGGAGUGAUGGCGGAGGAUGCAGAAGUGGAGACAGGUGGAGAGACUGGUGGCGAAGCAGUGGUGUGUUGGAUCAGGAGAUCCACCAGCCUCUGGAGCGGAUCCGGGGUGCUCAUGCUGGUCGGCCUUCGGUGGUCCAGUCUUCUGUUACGAACAGACAGGCUGGAGACACUGAGGUAUA